CCGGGUUCCAAGACCCCUGCGUAGACUCUGUCUAUAGGUGGAAGAAGGCCUUUGCCCCGAGGCAUCCAGAGGUAACGGCAACUCCAGUGGCAUCUUCUGCGGGGAGACCAGAAGCAGCAUCUGACGAGGAGACAGCACUGGCGGUCCCGACACAACUGAAUCGGCAGGAUGAGGGCCCUUAGUGUUAGGCACCGGCGGAGCUGCAUCCCACCCCGUCUCGUCCCCUGAGAACAGCUGUGAGAAGCCGCCUAUUUUUCAUCGUUCUGCAACACACCUUUCCCUUCCUUGGGAUAUUUCUCCUCUUUCAGCAUUGCCGCAUCAGGGUUCCAAAGCCCCGUUUCUCUCCUAGUUCUUUCUUUGCUCAAGAAAAGCAGCUUGUCUGAUAAACUAAGCUAUGUAUGAUUCGCUGCCAGUACAGACUGAAAAACAAAAUAAACUCCCAAUUCACAGUCCUCCGUUGCGUAACAGUGAGCAGACGUUCUGAGAAAUGCAUCGUCAGGCAAUUGCAUCAUUGUGCAAACAAUAUAGAGUGUACUUACCCAAACCUAAACAGCACAGCCUACUACACACCCAGGCUGUAGGCUGUGCUUCUAGACUACAAACCUGUACAGUGUGGUACUGAACACUGUAGGCAACUGUAACACAAUGGUGUACCUAAUUCCUCUGCCUAGAAAGUGUGCUGGAAUUACUGCCUGGCUUCUGAUGAAUAGGGCGUAUUGAGAGUGAUGCUUUGUGAGUUCUGAGGCUAGGUCAUAGAAAGGAUUGAACUUAUUCCUGAAUGUUGCUCUUGGAUCACUUGCUUUUUUGGGAACCACCAGCCAUGUCAUGAGGACACUCAAGCAACCCUGCAGAGAAGCACAUGUGUGGAGAGGCACUUCUUGGAAAGGAGGCCAACUUGCCAGAACCAACUAAUUUGUCAUGUGAGUGAGUCAUUUUGGAAGCAGAUCCUCUACCCUCAGUCAGGCCUUCCGAUGAUUUCAGCCCCCAGCCUUUGAGUCUGCCCCAAACACCAUGAGUAGAGACAAGCCCUUCCCACUGUGUCCACCCUGGCUGAAUUCCAGACCGUUAAAAAAACAAGAGAAAAUAAAUUAUUAUUAGUGUUUUGAGUCACUAA